GUGUAAAACAAGCAGUGCUAUGCAGCCAUUUACUCCAUCUCUGGAGUGAGCUUUGGCUCCAUCCCCCUGGUAUGAUGACAAGAGUUGUUUAUUGCUGGUGAAAGUGAGCAAGGAGAAAGCAGUGGAAGAAUUGUGCCACCAUUUAGUUUCAUUAAAUGUCCCACUGGUGGAACUUCCAAAUGGAUCAGUGUUGCUAGCUUUGGAAGUCUGCAAGAAUCUCCCUCUGAUUAGAUAUCUUGCUGGCCACAUUUCAGGACUGCUGAAGACAAUUACAUGAUUCUAGCUAUGCCCAUAUCUGGAAGAAGCCAACUUGCUUCACUCAUGAGCCAUAUCAAUCAUGCUUCUUUCCUACAACAAAAAUAAGAAUGCCUUCAGGAGUAAAUGUUGUUUGCUGUGCAACACUCAGAAUAAACAGGGAAGGAGCUUGGAAGCUUUGCCAGUCUGCCUGCCUUUGAU